GAUUUAUUUAUUAAGUACAUGUUAACGUUGUAAAGUUAUAUGGUGAUUAAUAAAUGGUAAUGAAAUGUUAAACGUUUUUUAGGAUAGCUAGUUUAUUAAUUAAAGGUAUUUAAGUACUAUAGUAUUAGCAUAAUAUAAGUAUAUUUUAAUACUAGUUUAUUAUAUAAGGGAUAAGCUUUAUAUAAAGUUAUAGAAUUUUAUUAUUAUUUAUUAUAUUAAAAGUAGGGUUAAUAUGUUUUUCUUUAAGAUAUUAGAUAAUGAAGUAAUAGAAAUUCAAGAAAUAAGUAAUAAAUAAUUAUUAAUUUAAAGUAAUUAAAUAUAAUGUUAAUAUGAGUAUUAAGUAAUUAUAAUAAAUUUUAUAAAAAUAAAAUUGUAAUAAAUUAUUUUUAUAUUGAAAGUAAAUUGAAAUAAAGGAAUUCGGCAAAUAUUGAUCUCGCCUGUUUAUCAAAAACAUGUCUCCUUGUAAAGGAUAAAUAAGGAG
rnacentral:rRNA from 1 species